CAGGCACACACACACAAGCUCACUCACUAGCAGGCACACACACUCACAAGCUCACUCACUAGCAGACGCGCUCACUCACUAGCAGGCACAUACACAUAAGCUCACUCCCUAGCAGGCACACACACACAUAAGCUCACUCACUAGCAGGCACACAUGCACACACAAACUCCCCAAAUAGUAGUUGCACGCACACACACACAC